CUACGGGGCGCAGCAGUUAGGAAUAAUCUACAAUGCGCGCAAGCGUGAUAGUUUGAGCCAGAGUGUUUUUCUAUUUGAAAAGCUUUUGCCGAAUGUAAAAAGUUCGGCGAAUAAGGACUGGGUAAGACGAGUGCCAGCCGCCGCGGUAAUACUCGCGGUCCAAGUCGCAGCCAUUUUUAUUGGGUCUAAAACAUCCGUAGCUUGCUUGAUAAGUUUCCUGUGAAAUCCGGCUUCUUAAGAGUUGGGCGGGCAGGAAGUACUGUUAAGCUAGAGACUGGGAGACGUAAGAAGUACGUUUAAAGUAACGGUAAAAUGUGUUAAUCUUAAACGGACUCACAACAGCGAAGGCAUCUUACGAGAACAGUUCUGACAGUCAGGGAUGAAGGCUAGGGGCGCAAAACGGAUUAGAUACCCCUGUAGUC
rnacentral:rRNA from 1 species